CAGUCGCCGCGGUAAUACGUAGGUGGCAAGCGUUGUCCGGAAUUAUUGGGCGUAAAGGGCUCGCAGGCGGUUUCUUAAGUCUGAUGUGAAAGCCCCCGGCUCAACCGGGGAGGGUCAUUGGAAACUGGGAAACUUGAGUGCAGAAGAGGAGAGUGGAACUCCACGUGUAGCGGUGAAAUGCGUAGAGAUGUGGAGGAACACCAGUGGCGAAGGCGACUCUCUGGUCUGUAACUGACGCUGAGGAGCGAAAGCGUGGGGAGCGAACAGGAUUAGAUACCCCAGUAGUCCCUGUCUCUUAUAC
rnacentral:rRNA from 1 species